CUGAGAUGAGUCAUCCCUGACCCCUUGAGGGUCCUAAAGGGCCGUUGGAGACCACAACGUUGAUAGGUGGGGUGUGUAAGCGCGGCGACGUGUUGAGCUAACCCAUACUAAUUACCCGUGAGGCUUAACCAUACAACACCCAAGAAGUGUUCU
rnacentral:rRNA from 1 species